ensembl:lncRNA
GGAGGGAAGAAGAAAGGACAACUAACGGAGGGGGGAUGGAAGGGAGGCAGAGGGAGAGACAGCAGUAUUCUGUGCCGUUCCCCUUCCUGACUCUACUCCCUGGCUCCUCCGCUGCACUCCUUGACGUCAACACGGAGGCAGCCAAUCGGUGGCCUGGCUCUACUCCCCUCUGUCUCUCCCCGGCUCCUCCCCCUUUCCCUCGGCCAGUUAUAAAGCCCCCGGAGGUACCUUGAGCGGAGUGUACAAUGUGCUGCCAGAGAUCCAGCAGGCACCGCACAGAGAGAGAGACCGAGCCAGAGAGGGAGGGAGAGAGACGCCAAAGCGCGAGCGGAGACUACGGAGGGAAUCCGGGACGCCAGCAGUGGCCAGGCGCCCCCUUCGCCCCGCGUCCCCAGGAUGGGCUGUGGGCCGGGCCGCCCUGCCUGCCAGGCCCCGUCCCAGGCCGCCGCCGCCGCCGCCGCCGGCUCGGCGCCGGGUCCCGAGGGGCCGUACCUGGAGCCCGGCGCCUCCAGGGUGCCGGACGUGCUCUCGUCCCUGGAGCGUCUGUCCCAGGCCACGGGGGGCAUGGAGAAGUCCUGGUACCGGUGCAUCUUCCCCUUCGGCAUCAUCUCGCUGGUGAUCGGCGUGGCGGGCACGGGGGUGACCUACACCUACAACGACCUGCCGCAGACCAAGGUGGUGUCGCUGGUGCUGCUGGGGGCCGGGCUGCUGCUGGUGCUGCUGGCCGCCACCUGCUGGACCGUCCACAAGCGCAAGAAGAGGAAAAAGAAGGAGGGCGGCUCCUUCACCUCUGAGCAGUGCCCCCUCUGAGGGUGCCGACCCGGGGCCGGACCGCAGAGAGCUGGGGGCCCGGGGGCCAGCGGCCGGGGGGGCCACAGAGAGAGAGAGGCCGAGACCGCCCCGGAGUCCGGAGGACACGCCAGAACUCUCUUUCCCCCGCCGUUCAGACCCCUAAAACAUUAGACGCGACAAGUGACCUGUUGGAGGAUCCUGUGGGAGAUCUUUUGAGGGAUCUGUUGGGAGAGCUUUUGGGGAUCCUUUAGUCGAUCUGUUGGGGGAACCUUUGAGGGAACUUUUGGGGGAACUUUGGGAGAUCUUUUGGGGAUCCUUUAGGGAAUCAGUUUGGGGAUCUGUUGGGGGAUCCUUUGGGACCUGUUGGGGAUCCUUUGGGGGAUCCUUUGGG